UACGUAGGGACCAAGCGUUGUUCGGAUUUACUGGGCGUAAAGGGCGCGUAGGCGGCGCGGUAAGUCACUUGUGAAAUCUCUGAGCUUAACUCAGAACGGCCAAGUGAUACUGCAGUGCUAGAGUGUGGAAGGGGCAAUCGGAAUUCUUGGUGUAGCGGUGAAAUGCGUAGAUAUCAAGAGGAACACCUGAGGUGAAGACGGGUUGCUGGGCCAACACUGACGCUGAGGCGCGGAAAGCCAGGGGAGCAAACGG
rnacentral:rRNA from 1 species